UAACCACCGAACAUUUAAGCUAGAGGGACGCUUUCAUUAAGUCUAUCCCGGGCGAUGGUUGCCCCGGGCGUAAGGGACCGAAAUUUAGUAGGGAAGUAGACGGCGUGAGAGACGAGAAAAGCUCUAGUGUAUACUAAGGUGCCCGUACCGCAAACCGACACAGGUAGAUGGGAUGAGUAUUCUAAGGCCAACGGGAGAAGGGUUGUUAAGGAACUCGGCAAAUUGGCCCCGUAACUUCGGGAUAAGGGGCGCCUGCGAGAGCAGGCCGCAGUGAAAAGGCCCAAGCGACUGUUUAGCAAAAACACAGCUCUCUGCUAAAUCGAAAGAUGACGUAUAGGGGGUGACGCCUGCCCGGUGCUGGAAGGUUAAGGGGAGUGCUUAGCAGCAAUGCGAAGGUGCGAACUUAAGCCCCAGUAAACGGCGGCCGUAACAAUAACGGUCCUAAGGUAGCGAAAUUCCUUGUCAGGUAAGUUCUGACCCGCACGAAUGGCGUAACGAUUUGGGCACUGUCUCAACAGCCCGCCCGGCGAAAUUGUAGUACCGGUGAAGAUGCCGGUUUCCCGCAACUAGACGGAAAGACCCCAUGGAGCUUCACUGUAGCUUGAUAUUGGAUCUCGGUAUUCCAUGUACAGGAUAGGUGGGAGACUUGGAAGUAAGCGCGCCAGCGUUUAUGGAGUCAACCUUGGGAUACCACUCUUGGGAUAUUGGGAUUCUAACCUGCGACCAUGAAUCUGGUCGGGGGACACUGUCAGGUGGGCAGUUUGACUGGGGCGGUCGCCUCCAAAAGAGUAACGGAGGCGCUCAAAGGUUCGUUCAGCACGGAUGGAAAUCGUGCACUGAGUGUAAACGCAUAAACGAGCCUAACUGCGAGAAUGACGGUUCGAGCAGUAACGAAAGUUGGAGUUAGUGAUCCGGCGGUAUGUGAAUGGAAAUGCCGUCGCUCAACGGAUAAAAGCUACCCUGGGGAUAACAGGCUGAUCUCCCCCAAGAGUCCACAUCGACGGGGAGGUUUGGCACCUCGAUGUCGGCUCAUCGCAUCCUGGGGCUGAAUUCGGUCCCAAGGGUUUGGCUGUUCGCCAAUUAAAGCGGUACGCGAGCUGGGUUCAGAACGUCGUGAGACAGUUCGGUCCCUAUCUGUUGCGGGCGCAGGAAUAUUGAGAGGAGCUGUCCUUAGUACGAGAGGACCGGGAUGGACGUACCGCUGGUGCACCAGUUGUUCUGCCAAGGGCAUAGCUGGGUAGCUAAGUACGGACGAGAUAAACGCUGAAGGCAUCUAAGCGUGAAACUCCCCUCGAGAUAAGUGUUCCCAUCCUUCGGGAGUAAGGCCCCUUGUAGACUACAAGGUUGAUAGGUCAGGAGUGGAAGUGCAGUAAUGUAUGGAGCGGACUGAUACUAAUAGGCCGAGGGCUUGUC
rnacentral:rRNA from 1 species